AUUGAACGCUGGCGGCAUGCCUUACACAUGCAUGUCGAACGGCAGCACGGGUGCUUGCACCUGGUGGCGAGUGGCGAGCGGGUGAGUAAUACAUCGGAACGUACCUUAUCGUGGGGGAUAACGCAGCGAAAGCUGUGCUAAUACCGCAUACGCCCUGAGGGGGAAAGCGGGGGAUCGAAAGACCUCGCGCGAUUAGAGCGGCCGAUGCCUGAUUAGCUUGUUUGUGGGGUAAAAGCCCACAAAGGCGACGAUCAGUAGCUGGUCUGAGAGGACGAUGAGCCACACUGGGACUGAGACACGGCCCAGACUCCUACGGGAGGCAGCAGUGGGGAAUUUUGGACAAUGGGGGCAACCCUGAUCCAGCAAUGCGGCGUGAGUGAAGAAGGCCUUCGGGUUGUAAAGCUCUUUUGUCAGGGAAGAAACACCGGCUCUAACACAGUCCGGGAAUGACGGUACCUGAAGAAUAAGCACCGGCUAACUACGUGCCAGCAGCCGCCGCCG
rnacentral:rRNA from 1 species